rnacentral:rRNA from 1 species
GCUUUAGCGAUGGAUCGGUUGAUUCGCGUAUCGAUGAAAAACGCAGCAAGCUGCGUUAUUUACCACGAAUUGCAGACGCUUAGAGUGGUGAAGUUUUGAACGCACAGCGCCGUUGGGUUUUCCCUUCGGCACGUCUGGCUCAGGGUUGUUUAAU